rnacentral:rRNA from 1 species
AGUGAACGCUGGCGGUAGGCCUAACACAUGCAAGUCGAACGGCAGCACAGUAAGAGCUUGCUCUUACGGGUGGCGAGUGGCGGACGGGUGAGGAAUACAUCGGAAUCUACUUUUUCGUGGGGGAUAACGUAGGGAAACUUACGCUAAUACCGCACACGACCUACGGGUGAAAGCAGGGGAUCUUCGGACCUUGCGCGAUUGAAUGAGCCGAUGUCGGAUUAGCUAGUUGGCGGGGUAAAGGCCCACCAAGGCGACGAUCCGUAGCUGGUCUGAGAGGAUGAACAGCAACAUUGGAACUGAGACACGGUCCAGACUCAUAGGGGAGGAGGCAGGGGGGAAUAGUGGACAAGGGGCGCAAGCCUGACCCACCAAUCCGGGGGGGGGGAAGAAGGCGUUGGGGUUGAAAAGCCUUUUUGUGGGAAAAAAAAAGAAGAGGGUUAAUACCCCGCUUUUCUGACGGUACCAAAAAAAAAAGACCCGGAAAACUUCGUG